GCUUGCUAGAGGAUAUAGCUCUGAAGAACAAGGAACCAUGGACGAAUAGCGAUGAAACCGAUGAAAGAGGGUGCUUUGGGACAGCUUAUGAGUACGAUGUGAACGUACUCGGUAGUGAGUUACCUGGUGCGAAAGUAGACCAAAAUGAGUUCUGCAAGGCUGUCAUGCCGAUGCCAGACAAGGAAAACGUUCAUAUUUGCGAGAAUUGGUUUGAAAAUGUCCAAGAGUGGGAAAGAAAUGAGUGCGUGACCCGUUGCUGCCAUGGAUGGGUUUGGACUUUUUACGGUCAAAUUCCUUAUAGGUCACUGGACGGGUUCAAGUGCUACAAGAGCAAUCAGGUCUGCUAUGCUGGAGAGUGUGUGGAUCCUGGCACUAACAUAAACACAUACGGUUAGGACAAACAAAUAAAUUUUCACUAUACGGUGUAUAAGA